rnacentral:rRNA from 1 species
AUUGAACGCUGGCGGCAUGCCUUACACAUGCAAGUCGAACGGUAACGCGGGGCAACCUGGCGACGAGUGGCGAACGGGUGAGUAAUAUAUCGGAACGUGCCCAAUAGUGGGGGAUAGCCCGGCGAAAGCCGGAUUAAUACCGCAUGAGACCUGAGGGUGAAAGCGGGGGAUCGCAAGACCUCGCGCUAUUGGAGCGGCCGAUAUCAGAUUAGGUAGUUGGUGGGGUAAAAGCCUACCAAGCCGACGAUCUGUAGCUGGUCUGAGAGGACGACCAGCCACACUGGGACUGAGACACGGCCCAGACUCCUACGGGAGGCAGCAGUGGGGAAUUUUGGACAAUGGACGCAAGUCUGAUCCAGCCAUUCCGCGUGCAGGAUGAAGGCCCUCGGGUUGUAAACUGCUUUUGUACGGAACGAAAGGUUUCUAUUAAUACUAGGGGCUCAUGACGGUACUGUAAGAAUAAGCACCGGCUAACUACGUG